rnacentral:rRNA from 1 species
CGCGGCCUAUCAGCUUGUUGGUGGGGUAACGGCCUACCAAGGCUUCGACGGGUAGCUGGUCUGAGAGGGCGACCGGCCACACUGGGACUGAGAUAGGCCCAGACUCCUCGGGAGGCGCAGUGGGGAUCUUGCACAAUGGGCGAAAGCCUGAUGCAGCGACGCCGCGUGGGGGAUGACGGCCUUCGGGUUGUAAACUCCUUUCGCUAGGGACGAAGCUUUUUGUGAUGCACCUAAAGCUCCGGCCCCGGCUAACUACGUGCCGCGGUAAUACGGAAUACAGCGAGGUGCGAGCGUUGUCCCUGAUUAUUGGGGGUAAAGAGCUUGUAGGUGGCUUGUCGCGUCUGACACGAAAACUCAACUCUCAGCCUCGGGUGUGAUACGGGCACGGUCAAGCUAGGGUGAGGCAAGGGAGACCGGAACUCCUGGUGUAGAAUGGAAAUGCGCAGAUAUCAACACCUGUGCCGAUGGCGGCUCUCUGUCUCUGUGCCAUUACUGACGAUGAAAAGCUAAGGCAUGGGUAGCGAACAGGAUUACUGACCCUGCUAGUCCACACUGUUGACGUUGGGGUGUGGGUGAGUCGGACCUCUCUGGUUCUCUGUGCCUAACCUAACGCAUGCCCCGCCUGGCCAGGGGAGAAUCUCUUCUCUAUCGGAUCCCACGGUACUCAACUUCGAAUUCAUGGCCUGGUCUGUUCUGUGUCCUGUGUUGUUAUGCUAUCACAAUCUCCAUUCCACAUACCAUACGAACGCAUAGCAUGUAGUGUCUGGGCUGCCUUGCCUAAUGAGUGACUCACCUCAAAUGCAUUGCGCUCAGCUCACUGCCUGCUUUCGAGACGCGUGACCUGUCAUCUCCAUUGCAUUAUUGACUCACCCAACGCGAGAGGCGAGGUGCGUAGCCGCGGCCUAUCAGCUUGUUGGUGGGGUAAUGGCUCACCAAGGCUACGACGGGUAGCCGGCCUGAGAGGGCGACCGGCCACACUGGGACUGAGACACGGCCCAGACUCCUACGGGAGGCAGCAGUGGGGAAUAUUGCACAAUGGGCGAAAGCCUGAUGCAGCGACGCCGCGUGAGGGAUGACGGCCUUCGGGUUGUAAACCUCUUUCAGCAGGGACGAAGCUUACGUGACGGUACCUGCAGAAGAAGGGCCGGCCAACUACGUGCCAGCAGCCGCGGUGAUACGUAGGGUCCGAGCGUUGUCCGGAUUUAUUGGGCGUAAAGGGCUUGUAGGCGGCUUGUCGCGUCCAGUGUGAAAACUCGGGGCUUAACUGCGGGCCUGCUUUCGAUACGGGCGGACUAGAGGGAUGCAGGGGAGACUGGAAUUCCUGGUGUAGCGGUGGAAUGCGCAGAUAUCAGGAGGAACACCGGUGGCGAAGGCGGUUCUCUGGGCCUAUACUGACGCUGAGAAGCGAAAGCGUGGGGAGCGAACAGGAUUAGAUACCCUGGUAGUCCACGCUGUAAACGUUGGGCGCUAGGUGUGGGGGACCUCUCCCGUUCUCUGUGUCGAAGCUAACGCAUUAAGCGCCCCGCCUGGGGAGUACGG